GACAUAGGUGGCGAACGUUAUCCGGAAUUAUUGGGCGUAAAGAGCUCGUAGGCGGUUUGGUAAGUUGGAUGUGAAAUCUCCAGGCUCAACUUGGAGGGGUCAUUCGAUACUGCCAUGACUAGAGUUCGGUAGGGGAGUGUGGAAUUCCUGGUGGAGCGGUGAAAUGCGCAGAUAUCAGGAGGAACACCCGUAGCGAAGGCGGCACUCUGGGCCGGAACUGACGCUGAGGAGCGAAAGCGUGGGGAGCGAACAGG
rnacentral:rRNA from 1 species